AGACGAACACAGAGAAGAAAAAGAAAAGGUAUACAAUGUAAUGCCAGUCAAUAAGUCAAGGCACGAUUCCACCCUAUAAAGUGCGAGCACUUGGCCGCCGUUAGUCCAGCCGCUCUCCAAACCCACACACAAAAUCUCUGUCCUUUGGUCUUCUUCUUCUUCUCUCUGCUCGCGCGAGGUGGGUAUCCAAAUGGAAGACACGAUCCCAGAAGCCAUGAGAUUACUCCCUCCACAAUUUAGAUUCCAUGCCACCGAUGAGGAGCUCCUCCUUCUUUACUUGAAGCCCAAGAUUCUUGGACAACCUGGCCACCUCUACUACAAUAUAAUUCCUGAGAUCGAUGUAUGCGAAUUUGAACCCUGGCAAUUGCCCGAUAUGUUUGAUCACAUGUUCAACAGGAGGGAGCUGUUUUUUUAUUGCCGUGUGAAGCGCAAUCACUUGAACAGCAGGCGCUCCAACCGCACGACCAGAGCCGGUUACUGGAAAGUGACCGGCAAGGACCGCGCCAUCAUGAGGGAGGACACCAACGAGCAGAUAGGAAUCAAGAAAACGCUGGUGUUCUGCGAAGGCCGCAUGGCUAACGUCAAAAGGACCAACUGGGUCAUGUAUGAGUAUCACCUAAAUUCCGAGCAUUUGGGCGAUAAUCACAACAAAGGCGAGAUGCUGCCGUACGUGGUAUGUCGGAUCAAGAACAAAAAAGACAAUAAGCCGAUGAUGCGUCAUGCUCCAACAAUAAACCCUGAAGGCUAUUCAAGCAGCCUUGCACAUGCAAUAGCAAUGUACUAGAACCCCCUGGGAAUCAAGAAGGGGACUUGCCGAGCUUCUGCAGCACACCCAAUAUGUUAGUGAGAGAGUUAAUGGAGUCGCUCACACUGGAAGACCGUGGAUUAGACUACAACAACGCUCCAAACUAUCAGCCACAGGCAGCUGUUUUUGCUCAACCAGAGAUGUCACUAAAAGAGUUAAUGAUUUCGCUCCCUCCAUUGGACGCACCGGAUGACUGUGUCAAACUACAUCAGCUCUCCAACCUAUCGACCACAGGCAAGGAAGGAUUGUCGCUCUUUGAGUUCGUUUUUGGCUGGGACAAUGUCUGAGGACUUACUCUACUACAACGUAUGACAAUGGUCGGUCAUGAUUUGGAAGGGGCGUGUGUGAAUGUGUGGGUUUUUACUUGUGAUGUAUUUAGUACUGAAUGGAUUCUGGAGUGACAUGAAACCUACGUAGUUUCAUAAUUUGAUUUCAGGUUGUAUUUUCUACUAAUCAAGGUGUAAUAUUUAUAUAA